AUUGAACGCUGGCGGUAUGCUUAACACAUGCAAGUCGAACGGUAACAGCAAGAGCUUGCUCUUGGCUGACGAGUGGCGGACGGGUGAGUAACGCGUGGGAAUCUGCCUAGUAGUUGGGGACAACCUGGUGAAAACCAGGCUAAUACCGAAUGUGGUCUACGGACUAAAGCAGGGGAUCUUCGGACCUUGCGCUACUAGAUGAGCCCGCGUUAGAUUAGCUAGUUGGUGAGGUAAAAGCUCACCAAGGCGACGAUCUAUAGCUGGUCUGAGAGGACGAUCAGCCACACUGGGACUGAGACACGGCCCAGACUCCUACGGGAGGCAGCAGUGGGGAAUAUUGGACAAUGGGCGCAAGCCUGAUCCAGCAAUACCGCGUGUGUGAAGAAGGCCUGAGGGUUGUAAAGCACUUUCAAUUGUGAAGAAAGGAUUAAGGUUAAUAACCUUGAUUUUUGACGUUAACUUUAGAAGAAGCACCGGCUAACCCUGUGCCAGCAGCCGCGGUAAUACAGGGGGUGCGAGCGUUAAUCGGAAUUACUGGGCGUAAAGCGUACGUAGGCGGAUAUUUAAGUCAGAUGUGAAAGCCCCGGGCUCAACCUGGGAACUGCAUUUGAAACUGGAUGUCUAGAGUUUGGUAGAGGCGGGUAGAAUUCCUAGUGUAGCGGUGAAAUGCGUAGAUAUUAGGAGGAAUACCAGUGGCGAAGGCGGCCCGCUGGACCAAAACUGACGCUGAGGUACGAAAGCGUGGGGAGCAAACGGGAUUAGAUACCCCGGUAGUCCACGCCGUAAACGAUGUCAACUAGUCGUUGGGUCCUUCGGGGCUUAGUGACGCAGCUAACGCGUGAAGUUGACCGCCUGGGGAGUACGGCCGCAAGGCUAAAACUCAAAUGAAUUGACGGGGGCCCGCACAAGCGGUGGAGCAUGUGGUUUAAUUCGAUGCAACGCGAAGAACCUUACCUACCCUUGACAUCAUCAGAACUUGUUAGAGAUAACUCGGUGCCUUCGGGAACUGAAUGACAGGUGCUGCAUGGCUGUCGUCAGCUCGUGUCGUGAGAUGUUGGGUUAAGUCCCGCAACGAGCGCAACCCUUGUCCUUAGUUGCCAGCACGUAAUGGUGGGAACUCUAAGGAGACUGCCGGUGAUAAACCGGAGGAAGGUGGGGAUGACGUCAAGUUAUCAUGGCCCUUAUGGGUAGGGCUACACACGUGCUACAAUGGUACAUACAGAGGGCAGCGACCUCGCGAGAGCAAGCAAAUCCCAGAAAGUGUAUCGUAGUCCGGAUUGGAGUCUGCAACUCGACUCCAUGAAGUCGGAAUCGCUAGUAAUCGUGAAUCAGAAUGUCACGGUGAAUACGUUCCCGGGCCUUGUACACACCGCCCGUCACACCAUGGGAGUGGGCUGCAAAAGAAGUAGGUAGCAUAACCUUCGGGGGUGCGCUUACCACUUUGUGGUUCAUGACUGG
rnacentral:rRNA from 1 species